AUUAGCAUAUUCCCACACGCCUCCGCGAGGAGUGCGGUGAGUCUGAGGGAGCGCGAAGGCCGUCCAGCCGGGAUGCUCCCGUGGCGGAGGCGGGCGACGCGGCCGGACGGCGCGAGGACGGGCUCGGAGAGACCCCGGGACCGCGAGGGGCCGCUUCCAGCGCAUUGUGAGGUCCCGCGGUUCUCGUCGCCUGAGGUCGCGGCGCCGAUGGAGGCGCUUGAAGGGGAGCGAGGCGCCCACGGGUGCCCCAAGCGAGCGCGGGGCGCAGGACGGGGUCUCGUGGGUGGGUGCCUUGGGGUUGCAACGCGUUACCCAACGGCUUCCUACUGCUAUGCAGAGUGAGACUCGGCCUCAUCCCUGUGGAAAGUGGUUGUGCGGAGUGAGGUGCAGAGGUGUCUGGGGGACCCACCUUCUAGCCGGAAGUCCAGGGGGCUGGCGCUUGUGGGCUCUUCCGCCCACGGAUGCCCCUGGGCGGGCUCCUGAGAAGUGUUUGUUGAAUGAAGAAGUUCGCAGGACAGGGCAGGGCCCGCCCCGUCGGUAACGCGAGCUCAUUGCACCCCGCUACCAGCGACGGAACCCACGGGGCAGGCUGUCGCUCGGGACAACAUCGGGCGGCGGCGACCGGCGGCCUUUUAAGCGGGUCUUGGAGCUGUGGCGGGUGGAUCUCUCCUGCCAAAUCCGCUCAGUUUCCCCGAGGGAGGCUGUGUGACCCGGCCCUAGCCUCUCCCUAGGGUGGGGCCUGGAGCCUUCCCUCCCGCCCCCAGCAAGAGGGUGAGGAACGCAGCCCGAGCCACGCUCCACUCCGAUCUGCCUCCCAUCUUCACGCAGGAUGGUCUUAGGCGACCCCAGUGAAAGGGUCAUUCGACUGUCAAAAGGGUCGCGACUCACAGGUUGAGAACCGCUGCCCCGGAAGCUCCAGUGGGGCAUGUCGGGACUGCCGGCUCUGUGGGAAAAUGCAGAGGCCAAACCGCCAUCCACUGUGACCACGUGGGGCUCUGGCGCGCUCGGCUGGAGGAAGGGAUGUAACCGCCAAGCUCCCACGGAUUUGCGCGAUCUCGGUACGAACAAAGGAGUGCGAGCUGCCUCACUGAUGGCAUUUCAUCUCCUUUCGGAUGUGCGGCAUUAGAGAGCAUCGGGAACGUUCAUUUCACUGGUUCCUUUUUAAGUGUGGCUACCAGGGAGUGUUACAUUGUGUGUGCGGCCGUCAUUUCCUCCGAACAGCGCUGCCUGGAGGCAGGCCUGGAUCGGGUUCCCACGUCUGCUUGCUCCUUACCCUCUUGUCACCAGGGCGGCCUGGCUUGAGGACCCAAGAGCAGACCUGCCCUUAAAAAGUUUGAAAGUCUGAGAUCCAGAGAAACCAAUAAAAUAUGAAGGCGGUGGCCUUAAAGCUUGCUCAUAAAGAUGGCACCAAUGAUGGGCUUUUUGAGUUCAAGAAUGGGACCUUCGUGAGCUCAGGGCUGUCCUCUGCGGGGCAUCUCAGCGGAAAGGAGAGAUGGACAUCAGCCUGGAGCUACCCCGCACCCCGUUGGUGUCAGCCUUCCCUAGGCUGCUGCAGCCAGGCAGCACAACUGAAGAAAAUUUGUAACGCUGCUCGCUCAAGACGAUUAAAGGGAACUAUCUUUGCAGAUGGAGUUAAGGUGGAUUUUACAUAGGAGGUGACUUUAGAAAUGUCCUGAUAGGAGAGUUAAGACUUGCCCUGGAUGGUUUGGCUCAGUGGAUAGAGCAUUGGCCAGCGAACCAAAGGGUCCCCGGUUCGAUUCUGGUUGCAGGCUCCUCCCCGGCCGGAGCCCUGGUCAGGACGAGUGCAGGAGGCAACCAAUUGAUGUGUUUCCUUCACAUCGAUAUUUCUCUCUGUCUUUCACUCUCUUCCACUCUCCCUAAAAAUCAAUGGAAAAAUGUCCUAUGGAGGUCACAGUUCGAUUCCCAGUCAGGGCACAUGCCUGGGUUGCAAGCUCCAUCCCCCAAUAAGGGGCUUGCAGGAGGCAGCCAAUCAAUCGUUCUCUCUCAUCAUUGAUGUUUCUAUCUAUCCCUCUCCCUUCCUCUCUGAAAUCAAUAAAAACAUAUUUUAAAAUCAUUUAAAAAUAAAAGUACUUUUUUAAAAAAGAUGACAACAGAAGGGGGAAGGAAAAGAAAUCUUGAUAGAAAACAAUAUUUGAUAACUACAUGAGCAUAUCAGGUAGAGGGAAAAAUUAAAAAGCAAAAAGGUGCUAAGUUGGGGUUAUUUUCCACUAUGAAAAAAUACAGUGAAGAUCUCUGACCCACGUAGACCUUAAAUUCUGAGGGUUUUGGGCAAAUAAUCCCAUAAUCAGGUGGGGAUUACAGGUUGUGAUUAAGAACCAUGAAAGAGAGAAAUUAGGUGUUAGGAUUACAGGGAGGUCAACUUUAGAAAGAGUGGCCAGACAAGGCCUCUUGCAAGUGCUGACCUUUGAGCUGAGAGGCCUGAGGCCAUUCUGAGAGAUUUGAAUUUUAUCUUCUCUAGCUGGAGAAGCCAUUGAAAGUUUAAAACUGAACGAGAUUACAUUUAUAUGUUUUGAAAAAUCAAAAGAGUAGGCAAUGGCCCUGACUGGUUUGGCUCAGUGGAUAGAGCGUCGGCCUGCAGACUGAAGGGUCCCAGGUUUGAUUCCGGUCAAGGGCAUGUACCUUGGUUGUGGGCAUAUCCCCAGUGGUGGGUGUGCCAGGAGGCAGCUGAUCGAUGUUUCUCUCUCAUCAAUGUUUCUAAUUUACCCUUCUCCCUUCCUCUCUGUAAAAAAUCAAUAAAAUACAUUUUUUUAAAAAAAA